rnacentral:rRNA from 1 species
CAAAAAAGCCCAGCAGCGAGUUGACAUGGUGCCCGUACCCCAAACCAACACAGUGGACAGGUAGAGCAUACCAAGGCGAGUGGGAUAACUAUGGUUAAGGAACUCGGCAAAUUGCCUCCGUAACUUCGGGAGAAGGAGGACCCCAGUAGCGUGAUGAGACUUGCUCUCUGAGCGUGAAGGGGUGGCACAAAAUUGAGGGAAGCGACUGUUUACCAAAAACACAGCAGCAUGCUAAGCCGUAAGGCGCUGUAUACGCUGUGACUCCUGCCCGGUGCUGGAAGGUUACGGGGAUGGGUUAGUCCUUCGGGACGAAGCUCUGAACCUAAGCCCCAGUAAACGGCGGCCGUAACUAUAACGGUCCUAAGGUAGCGAAAUUCCUUGUCGGGUAAGUUCCGACCUGCACGAAUGGAGUAACGGCUUCCCUACUGUCUCAGCCAUAGACCCAGCGAAAUUGAAGUACGAGUAAAGAUGCUCGUUAGCUGCAGAAGAACGGAAAGACCCCGUGGACCUUUACUAUAACUUGAUGUUGUGUUUUGUCAUAUGUUGUGUAGGAUAGGUGGGAGACUUGGAAGCAUGGACGCUAGUCUGUGUGGAGUCAUCGUUGAAAUACCACCCUGCAUAUGGUGAGGCUCUAACCUAGACCCGUUAUCCGGGUUGGGGACAGCGUCAGGCGGGUAGUUUAACUGGGGCGGUUGCCUCCUAAAGAGUAACGGAGGCGCCCAAAGGUUCCCUCAGCCUGGUUGGCAAUCAGGCGUUGAGUACAAUGGCAAAAGGGAGCUUGACUGCGAGACCUACAAGUCGAGCAGGAGCGAAAGCUGGGCAUAGUGAUCCGGCGGUUGCGUGUGGAAGCGCCGUCGCUCAACGGAUAAAAGGUACCCCGGGGAUAACAGGCUAAUCUUGCCCAAGCGUCCAUAGCGACGGCAAGGUUUGGCACCUCGAUGUCGGCUCAUCGCAUCCUGGGGCUGAAGCAGGUCCCAAGGGUUGGGCUGUCCGCCCAUUAAAGCGGUACGCGAGCUGGGUUCAGAACGUCGUGAGACAGUUCGGUCCCCAUCCUCUGCAGCCGGAGGUGAAUUGAGGAAAGCUGUCCCUAGUACGAGAGGACCGGGACGGACGCAGCUCUCGUGUGCCAGUUGUCCUGCCAAGGGCAUGGCUGGUUAGCGACCUGCGGAAAGGAUAACCGCUGAAAGCAUCUAAGCGGGAAGCCUCUUCCAAGAUGAAUUCACCCACAGGGUUAACCUGGUAAGGCCCGUGGUAGACCACCACGUUGAUAGGCCGGAAGUGUAAGCGUGGCAACACGUUCAGCUGACCGGUACUAAUCGGCCGAGGGCUUGAGCU